rnacentral:rRNA from 1 species
GCUGAGGAAAAGAAACUACCAAGGAUUCCCCUAGUAGCGGCGAGCGAAGCGGGAAGAGCUCAAAUUUAUAAUCUGGCACCUUCGGUGUCCGAGUUGUAAUCUCUAGAAAUGUUUUCCGCGUUGGACCGCACACAAGUCUGUGGGAAUACAGCGGCAUAGUGGUGAGACCCCCGUAUAUGGUGCGGACGCCCAGCGCUUUGUGAUACAUUUUCGAAGAGUCGAGUUGUUUGGGAAUGCAGCUCAAAUUGGGUGGUAAAUUCCAUCUAAAGCUAAAUAUUGGCGAGAGACCGAUAGCGAACAAGUACCGUGAGGGAAAGAUGAAAAGCACUUUGGAAAGAGAGUUAACAGUACGUGAAAUUGUUGGAAGGGAAACGCUUGAAGUCAGACUUGCUUGCCGAGCAAUCGGUUUGCAGGCCAGCAUCAGUUUUCCGGGAUGGAUAAUGGUAGAGAGAAGGUAGCAGUUUCGGCUGUGUUAUAGCUCUCUGCCGGAUACAUCUGGGGGGACUGAGGAACGCAGUGUGCCUUUGGCGGGGGUUUCGACCUCUUCACACUUAGGAUGCUGGUGGAAUGGCUUUAAACGACCCGUCUUGA